CAGUCGAACGAAGCACUUUAGACAGAUUCUUCGGAUGAAGUCCUUAGUGACUGACUGUCGGACGGGUGAGUAACGCGUGGGUAACCUGCCUCAUACAGGGGGAUAACAGUUAGAAAUGGCUGCUAAUACCGCAUAAGCGCACGGUACUGCAUGGUACGGUGUGAAAAACUCCGGUGGUAUGAGAUGGACCCGCGUUGGAUUAGCUAGUUGGCAGGGUAACGGCCUACCAAGGCGACGAUCCAUAGCCGGCCUGAGAGGGUGGACGGUCACAUUGGGACUGAGACACGGCCCAGACUCCUACGGGAGGCAGCAGUGGGGAAUAUUGCACAAUGGGGGAAACCCUGAUGCAGCGACGCCGCGUGAGCGAAGAAGUAUUUCGGUAUGUAAAGCUCUAUCAGCAGGGAAGAAAAUGACGGUACCUGACUAAGAAGCCCCGGCUAACUACGUGCCAGCAGCCGCGGUAAUACGUAGGGGGCAAGCGUUAUCCGGAUUUACUGGGUGUAAAGGGAGCGUAGACGGAAUGGCAAGUCUGAUGUGGAAGGCCGGGGCUCAACCCUGGGACUGCAUUGGAAACUGUCAAUCUAGAGUACCGGAGGGGUAAGUGGAAUUCCUAGUGUAGCGGUGAAAUGCGUAGAUAUUAGGAGGAACAUCAGUGGCGAAGGCGGCUUACUGGACGGUAACUGACGUUGAGGCUCGAAAGC
rnacentral:rRNA from 1 species